AGUAACUGGAAACUGGAAGAGUAACUGGAAGAGUUAGUUUAUUUUUUAAGAACUGGUUUAAUAAUCAUAUCCUGCUGGCUGAAGAAAAUAAGUGUCCAACAAGCUUUUGUAGUGUGGCUUUUCCUGGGACAAGAUGUAAGAGGAUUUGCCGUGGCAGCGGAGAAGCCAGAUGGCAGAGAAAAGCAGAGCACCAGUGUGGAACUAUUACAUGGAAUUGGCCCCAGGGAAAGCAAGGUGUCUUAUUUGUGAUAAAGAUGUCAGCAUGGAGUCAGCAACGGCUAAAUCAAACAAUACCACCAACAUGUGGAAUCACCUUAAGAACACCCAUCCAAAAGCCCAUAUGUAUUACAUUAAGUUAAAAUAAAAAAGUGUUCAUUGUUCAUUCA